GGCGGCGGCGGCGGCGGCGGCGGCGGGGCGGGGGCGGGGGCCGGGGCCGGGACGCGGCGCGGGAGCAUGGAGCCUCGGGCCGGCUGCCGGCUGCCGGUGCGGGUGGAGCAGGUCGUCAACGGCGCGCUGCUGGUCACCGUGAGCUGCGGCGAGCGCAGCUUCGCCGGGAUCCUGCUGGACUGCACGAAAAAGUCCGGCCUGUUUGGCCUGCCCCUGUCGGCCCCGCUGCCCCAGCCCGAGGACCCCCCAGUCAACGGCUGCCACGGCCCGGCCCCCGCGGAGCAAGACGGAGAGGCAAUGCAGCUGGGGACAGUCCCUCCACCGCCUCCCGACGGGGACCAGCCCCCCGAGACUGCAGACCCCAAGCCACCGCUCGUGCCCCCGUUCCCGCCAUAUUUCGAAGGCGCCCCCUUCCCUCCCCCGCUCUGGCUAAGAAGCACCUACCGGCAGUGGGUGCCGCAGCCGCCCCCCCGGACCAUCAAGAGGACACGCCGGCGUCUGUCCCGCAACCGUGACCCGGGUCGGCUGGCCCUGAGCCCCAUCCGCCUGCGGCCGCGCCAAGUACUCUGUGAGAAGUGCAAGAGCACGCUGAGCCCCCCCGAGGCCAGCCCCGGCCCCCCGGGUGCCCCGAGGCCGCGCAGGAGGGUGGGCAGCGGCCCUGGCUUUGACAGCGAGCCCCGCAAGCCGGAGGACCCGGCCGGCGGUGGUGACCCCGCGGCCACCACGAGGAGGAGCAAGAGGGAGAAGCGAGAGGAGGACAAGGCCCGGGUGCCACGGAGCCCGGCCAUCAAGAUCUCCUACAGCACGCCCCAGGGCACGGGUGAGGUCGUGGAGAUCCCCUCCCGCGUGCACGGGUCCCUCGAGCCCUUCUGCCCCUCCCAGGCCCUGCACGGUGGCGGCCAGGACCCCAGCGGGCCCAGCGCCUCCAUCCCCAAGCUGAAGCUGACGCGCCCCGGGCCCCCUGGCGCCGGCCUGCCGCCCCCCAAGAUCCGCCUGAAGCCCCACCGCCCGGGGGCCGGGGAGCGGGAGCCCGUCUACAGAGCCGAGCUGGUGGAGGCGCUCAACGGCCACGGGCGAGGCCCCCGGGCCAGCUCACCCCCUCUCCUGGGCCACGGCUCCGCGGGCCGUGGGCCGGUGGACUCGUCUUCCGGAAGUUCUGGUGAGGAUGAUGACUUCAAGCGGUGUCCCCAGGGCAAACCCCAGCAGGACGGCCUGGCGUUCCUUGCCGCCUGCCCUAGGAGGGGGACGGACUGUGCCGGCGAAUCUGUGUGGAGCAGCGACAGCCUGGACGAGUCCAAAUCGUGCAGCUCGGAAGUGCCGUCACCGGACACGUGUGACCUGUCCGGCGACGGUGCAUCUGUGAGGUCCUCGUCCGGGGCCGCGAGGCAGACGGUCCCGCCCCUGACAGUCAGGCUGCACACACAGAGCGUCUCCAAGUGCGUGACUGAGGACGGAAGGACCGUGGCCGUGGGGGACAUCGUGUGGGGUAAGGUUCAUGGUUUUCCUUGGUGGCCAGCGCGUGUCCUUGACAUCAGUCUUAGCCAGAAGGAGGACGGGGAGCCUUCCUGGCAAGAAGCCAAAGUCUCGUGGUUUGGUUCUCCGACUACGUCAUUCUUGUCUACUUCAAAACUCUCCCCUUUCUCUGAGUUUUUCAAACUGAGAUUUAACCGUAAGAAGAAGGGGAUGUACCGGAAAGCCAUAACGGAGGCCGCCAAUGCCGCGCAGCCUGUGGCCCCGGAAAUAAGGGAGGUCUUAACCCAGUUUGAGACGUAAGCCGCCCGACCAGGUGAGCGCGCAGGGCUGCUCCUGUGCCCCUCCCGCCGCUCUGCUGGGAAGCCUCCUCCCUCUGGCUGGCAGCUGGCAGAGAGGCCUGCUUAAUGGCAGCGGCACCCUGCUUUGCGGUUCGCGGAAGAGAGGCUUUCCGAAUCGAGUCGUGGGGGAUCGUCAGCCACCGUGCGGAGAACAGGGCUGGUCACCGACGGUGAGGGCAUGGCUGUUCUCCUGGACCUUCUGACUUUGGGGGUGCCCUCCGCAUCACCUGUUCCGUCUGAGGGGCCCCGUGUGCCUUCUGGCCAGCUGCCUGCAGAAAUGCGCCAGGCCCACGGUGGCCAGCCUGCUGGGGGUCCCCAGAGGGGAGCAGGUGUGUGUGGGGAGGAGGACAGCCCCCAGGAGCACCGCGGCUCCUCCCCGCUGAACAUCCUUAUCCCCCGACUCAGGCUUUAGCUCCUGUGGUUUGUGAAGUUCCAGGAGCCCACGACACCCUUCCUGCUGCUGCCUCGCCCACUGGGGCACCUAGCAGGGGCGAGGCCUGCCACCCCGCGUCCAGGUCCUGGGCCAGGCCCCCUCAGGCCCGCAGGCUUCCAGAAACCAGCUUGCACGUGUGGGGCGCUUCCUCCCCAAGCCCUCGGCACGGGGUCUCUGUGCACUUGAGAACCCGGAACCUGCCCGGCCUCCCCCAUGAUCCUCCCAAAGCUGGGCGCCUGUGGGCACCCUGGCGGUGAGGGCCUGAGGAGGGGAGCCACUCUGGGAAUGCGGGAGACUUCCAAAGGAAAACAGCUUGGCCUGUUGUUUGUAGGAGCUGCUCCUGUCUCCUUUCUGUCACUUUAAAGACCAAAAAGAAAAAGAAAGAAACAGAAAAC